AACGAACGCUGGCGGCAUGCCUAACACAUGCAAGUCGAACGAGACCUUCGGGUAUAGUGGCGCACGGGUGCGUAACGCGUGGGAACCUGCCCUUAGGUUCGGAAUAACUCCCCGAAAGGGGUGCUAACACCGGAUAAUGUCUUCGGACCAAAGAUUUAUCGCCUUUGGAUGGGCCCGCGUUGGAUUAGCUAGUUGGUAGGGUAAAAGCCUACCAAGGCGACGAUCCAUAGCUGGUCUGAGAGGAUGGUCAGCCACACUGGGACAGACACACGGCCCAGACUCCUCCGGGCGGCCGCAGUGGGGACUGUUGGACAGUGGGGGAGAGCCUAAUCCAGCAAUGCCGCGUGAGUGAGGAAGGCGUUAGGGUUGUAACGCUCUUUUACCCGGGAUGAUAAUGACAGUACCGGGAGAAUAAGCACCGGCGAACUCCGU
rnacentral:rRNA from 1 species